rnacentral:rRNA from 1 species
ACAGCAGUCGCCACGGUAAGACAGAGGAUGCAAGCGUUAUCCGGAAUGAUUGGGCGUAAAGCGUCUGUAGGUGGCUUUUCAAGUCCGCCGUCAAAUCCCAGGGCUCAACCCUGGACAGGCGGUGGAAACUACCAAGCUGGAGUACGGUAGGGGCAGGGGGAGUUUCCGGUGGAGCGGUGAAAUGCGCUGAGAUCGGAAAGAACACCAACGGCGAAAGCACUCUGCUGGGCCGACACUGACACUGAGAGACGAAAGCUAGGGGAGCAAAUGGGAUUAGAUACCCCGGUAGUCCCUGUCUCUUAUAC